rnacentral:rRNA from 1 species
CACGUGAGUAACCUGCCCUUGACUUUGGGAUAACUUCAGGAAACUGGGGCUAAUACCGGAUAGGAGCUCCUGCUGCAUGGUGGGGGUUGGAAAGUUUCGGCGGUUGGGGAUGGACUCGCGGCUUAUCAGCUUGUUGGUGGGGUAGUGGCUUACCAAGGCUUUGACGGGUAGCCGGCCUGAGAGGGUGACCGGCCACAUUGGGACUGAGAUACGGCCCAGACUCCUACGGGAGGCAGCAGUGGGGAAUAUUGCACAAUGGGCGGAAGCCUGAUGCAGCAACGCCGCGUGCGGGAUGACGGCCUUCGGGUUGUAAACCGCUUUCGCCUGUGACGAAGCGUGAGUGACGGUAAUGGGUAAAGAAGCACCGGCUAACUACGUGCCAGCAGCCGCGGUGAUACGUANGGUGCGA